ensembl:lncRNA
UUUUCCUCAGCACUUUUGUGAGUGAGCACACAUGAGCAGCUGCCCACAGGAACCCAGUUCAUGCAGGAGCAGGAAGGAGACUGCCGUUCUGCUCAAGGGAAGAGCACAAAGAGGUUUGCAGAGCUUUCUGAGAGCAGUGAUAAAGACAGGGAGGGGAAAGGUAGCUGAAGAACUGGAGAAAGUGGAAAACUAGCAGAGAUCUACUUGAAGCUGAAACAUAUGUGGAAGAUGUUAUGAAACUAAAACUCAGAAACACUACUAAGUUGUAUGGAUGAAUAAAUGCAUCUACUAUUUCAGGAAGAAAAAACACUCAGAAUUGAGAAACACAAAGCGGAAGAGAUCAAUGAGGAAAGCAACCUGAAUUAUAAAGAGAAGAUAGGAAUUCAUACAUUGGAACAAGCCACAGAAGAAAAAUUAAAUUAAUUAUUGUUCUCCAUAUUGACCAGGAAAUUUAAGAGAAGCAUGAGAAAUGUAACAUGAUCUUCAAUGGACCAAAACCAACUUAAGCUGAUAGUUAUCACAACAGGAAUUUGUUUCUCCUUCUCUUCCUACCAUAAAAAGAAGAUUAAAAAAAAAUAAUAAGAAGUCAAGGUAGGUGGGUUACAGAAAAUUGUUCCAAAGCCAUGCAGCAUACAUAUUCCAAUAAAGAUCUAACAUGCUCAGGUAUUAGAGUCCAAGUUUAAGUGGAUACAAAUCAAUCUCAGUUACUGAGUGAAGGGAUGAGAAUACAGGUGUAAGAUUUUCCUACAACUGAAAUAUUUCUAGCCUCAAUAAGUUUAAUGCUGAUUAAAGUACUAUAGAUUAAAAAAGUUAUUAUUUCCCAACCCUCUGUCUCUUUGUGUGAACAGAUCAUGAACAGAUCACAGAAACAGGUCUCUCUUCCAUGGUACACAGUUAAUAAUCUUUUUUUAGUUGACCAGUGACUCACUGGGAGGCUUGGGGAAUUGGCAGCCUGAGGUAAGCAUCCUUGAUAAUACUCUAAACUGCUUGGUAAAGGAAUUUGUACAUCAUUUCAAAUGCCAUAUCAUAUAUUAAAUUAAGAAUUCCCUUACAUCUACAUUCCCUUACAUCCCUUACACGGAAAUAGUCUGAAUUCAAGCUAGUUAUUUCAGAUAUAAAUUUGGGAAAUAAAUCCCUUAGAAGCAUGACGAAAUUAAAUAAAAAGUAAAUAUCAUUUCAGAAAUCUGGAACAAAGCAGGAGAGUCAUCAUCUCAUUAAAAAAUACCAAGGGAAUCUUGGUAAAUCAAAAAUAUUGUCUUGUAUUAACAACAAACAGGAAAUAUCUCUGUGUUUCUAAGUGCAAGCUAGAAUACAGAUACGAAGCUAUUCUAUCUGUUUGUUCAUUUCUGCUUACAGAUUUCCUUACAUAGGAAAUGUAAUGUAAUGUUACAGACUACCUUUACAUGGGGUGUUCCAAAUACCAUCACAUGGCGUAAGUUUGACUUUUAUUUAUAAUUAAUACUGCCUGGCUGUGGUACACAAAAUCUUAAACCCCAAAAUCUGCAAGUAACUCAAUUUUUGCCUACCCUUUCUUACACUAAAACAAUCUUAAAAUGUUAUCUCAUCCAUUCUGUUUCAGAUUCUUCGUAGAAUUAAAAUUUAGCAGAGGUACCUUAAUAGACCCAAUGGGAACACUGACAGAAAUACCAUAACUGUUCUUUCUACUGAGAGACUUCAGACUGAACAGUUUGGCAGUACAGAAAGAGAAAAUGCCUAAUUUUUGCUAACCUCUAUUCUAAAUAGCUUAAGAGCUUUGCAAAAUCCAGAACCAAUCUUCUGACAGAAAUCAGAGAUGGGUUCAGUGCUAAGAGUCAUUUCUUUUCUCUUCUUCCUUUUCCUCAUACGCAGGUAUGACAGUUGUGUUUGUUUGUUUUGUAUCUGCUGGUUUUUUUGUUGGUUUUUUUGUUUGUUUGUUUUUCAGAAAGCAUGCUGUGAUGAUAGAUGGCUUUAGCAAGUAUGUGUUUUAAGUUCUUUACCCUGUCAUACAUUUUCCCUUUUUUCUUUAGUCACACAGCAAUAUACAGCCAGCUACUUGUUACAAGCUUUUUGUAAACCUGUUUUUCUCUACAACCCCACUAGAAUACUGAUGUCCAAAAGAAGAAUGUACAGUCCAUUGUCUUUUUACACUUCCCAGUUCUUCUCAUUUCAGCUGUUGAUUAUAAAACAACAUCAGUCAAACAGCUCAUCAAGGAAAGCAAGAUUAUGCAUAUUCAUACUACAUCUCAGUAAGGACAAUAAAUGAAAUAUAAUUAC